rnacentral:lncRNA from 1 species
AGCACUGCAGCAUGAAUGAAGGGUCGGUUCGGCGCGGCCAGGAAAGUCCUUUUGGGCCGAAGGAAGGUGUGGCUGGGCACCUCUGGGCAGCCACCGCCAGUCCUCGCCCGGAGUGAAGGGGCGAGAGGUGACGGAGACGGAGGGGCUCUAGACGGCCGGCGGGACAGUCUGCAUCGCCCCUGCUGAGCGGAGGCCGCCCCGGGAAGGGGGACGCGGUCCCCGGCCUGGCACGAUCCGAGACGGCGGUGGCUGAGGUUCUCCGCGCGAGGCGUGGAGGCCGGCGGGGCGCGGGCAGUGGCCAAGUCGGGACUCCUGGGCACCUGGCGAGCGUCCCCGCGACCAGGGCGGGGACCCGGCUCCGCAGGCCGGUGCGGACCGAGCGAGGCGCGACACCGGGAGGCUCGAGUUCCCAGGCGGCAGGAAGUUGGUCCCCGGACGCCUAGGCUUCUGGGCCGCCGCUCAGCACAUGGGCCGCCUCCCCUCAGGGUCGCCCCCGCGAGGGUCGCAUCUCAGGGACGGCAGCCGCAGCUCCCGGCGGACGAGAAGGUGGGGGAGGGAGACUGGCCCGGAGGUUGGGGAGAGGCCUUGAGGCCCCGGGCUGGAUCCGCCGCAGCCUCCACCGAUCGCGGCCGAUGGGGCAAGCUCAAGCUGCGCCCGACGAGGCAGGAAACUUUCCGACCUGGUGGGGAAAACAUCAAAACAAACGGCCGUCAGGCGCCUCAGCCCGCCCGCCUCAGCCGUCGCCCCCUCCAGCCAGACCCCCGCCAGCCCACACCGCUAGGCACGACCUCCGCCGACCUCUCCGCAAGCAGGCUACGAGGAUUUGGAGCCAGGACGCCACGACGGGUCCUACCUCCCUAGCCGCCACCACCGCCUCAGCUUACCUUGCCAGCGCCGGCCGCCAUAGUGACUCUGACUGAAACCUACCCGGUGCACCGCCACGGGAACGCGCACCCUUCAAGGGCCCUCCUACCCCCUCUCCCGCGCCGUAGUCCAGGAAUGUCACGUGAACGACGCCACGGAAGCCGUGUUGGUAGAGGGCAGAAAAAAGGGCAAGGGCUCCUGCGCGGAUUCUUCCACAGAAGGAGCGUCCAGAAAGUUUAAAAUCAUGUUUCUUC